AGAAAGAGGAUUACUCUCUCAAAACCUUAGCACCUCUCUCUAAAGCUUCAUGAUCAAACCCAGCAGUGUUUUUCGUGGGUGACCAUUCCAAGGAGCUCUAGAUUACCCCCCGCCGUUGAUUGAGGCAAAGUGGAUGGCUGAGAUUGUACAGAAGAAGAAGACGAAGAAGAUUGAGGGGAAGGAGAAGGGUUUGAAGAAGAGAAAGGAGAGAAACUAAAAGGGCCAUCAGCAAAAAAAACAAAAUUUGAUUGAGAAAAGGAAAAGGAGGCUGCUAUUGCUGAUAUUA
rnacentral:lncRNA from 1 species